rnacentral:tRNA from 1 species
AUUUAUAUAGUUUAAUAUAAAACAUUAUAUUUUCAAUAUAAAAAUAAAUAAAUUUUUAUAAAUA